rnacentral:lncRNA from 1 species
CUCUUGACAAGUGACCUGAAGACUACACUCAGAAACCACAGUGAGGAUCGACAAACUACUGAAUUAUUCUGUAUACAGCAAGUUCCAAAUAAACCCAAGCAAAGCAGCCUAGUGAACGAAAAGUCUCCAAAAUGGACAAAUCCGGAUCUGAGAUGGACAACAAUAUCCAUAUCACACCAGAGGAUCUUCUACCCAUAGUAAACAAAUGUUUUGAAAGAAUCUCUGCAGCACAGUGGACUAUGAUAGCUGCAGAUACCUGGGACUCAGACACACAAGCUAAUCUGACUGAUAUGCUUACUGAAAUGGUACAGUCGCUCUCCACAGACAUCCUGAGAAAUGGAAUACCAAUGUGUCAGCAACUUCUUAAGAGUGAACCUCAGGCUGAUAUAACUACAAUUUUGAAUAACUUCAUCAAUUGCAUAGGAGACUCAAUUCAUGGUAGCUUUGCUGCAGCUUUUCACAUCCCACAAGACAAAUGUGAAAGUGCUGAGAAGCUGGCAGCACUGGUCGAGACUGAAGUUGCACAAAAGGUACACUUUGCUGUAUCUGUGGCCAUGGACAGCCCUGUUUGGCCAUCAGAACCUGUCGUUUUUGUCAAUGGCUCCAUGUCCAACACAGCGUCUCUUCGUCUUAUGGUGUUUCAUGCUAAAAAAUGUCUUAGAAGAUAUUUAGGUAAGCUGAACUCCCAGUGCCUGGGACUGUGUUGGCCGAAAAAAAGCACUGAGCCACAAAAAAGCUCUGAAUCUACAAAAGAGAUGGAAAUGGAAGAACCAGAGAAAUGUGAAUCAUCUCAGAGCAUAAAAUCUAGGAUCUCUGUCCCUCAGCGACAAUUGCUGUGAGUGAAAUCCUCACCAAAUGGUCUGGUGAGACACCAGAAAUCGAAGAAGAGGCUGAAACCGCUCUCCCGCCUUUCAGCACCUCUCUGGAUGCUCAUUUUGCAGCGUCUAAAAUUGUCAAUACUAUAAUUACUGACCUGCAUGACAAAGACUACGGACAUGUCCCUGAAUGUACUGAGAAAAGUAGCUCAUCUGGACCUCAUUUUGAUAUAAGGUUAAUACUAAAUGAGGU